rnacentral:rRNA from 1 species
AGCGAACGCUGGCGGCAGGCCUAACACAUGCAAGUCGAACGAAGUCUUCGGACUUAGUGGCGGACGGGUGAGUAACACGUGGGAACGUGCCUUUAGGUUCGGACUAACUCAGGGAAACUUGUGCUAAUACCGAAUGUGCCCUUCGGGGGAAAGAUUUAUCGCCUUUAGAGCGGCCCGCGUCUGAUUAGCUAGUUGGUGAGGUAAAGGCUCACCAAGGCUACGAUCAGUAGCUGGUCUGAGAGGAUGACCAGCCACAUUUGGACUGAGACACGGCCCAAACUCCUACGGGAGGCAGCAGUGGGGAAUCUUGCGCAAUGGGCGAAAGCCUGACGCAGCCAUGCCGCGUGGAUGAUGAAGGUCUUAGGAUUGUAAAAUCCUUUCACCGGUGAAGAUAAUGACUGUAGCCGGAGAAGAAGCCCCGGCUAACUUCGUGCCAGCAGCCGCAGUAACAC